rnacentral:misc_RNA from 1 species
UAUCUUGAUGCUUUGUAUAAUCCUUGUAUCCUUGCUUCAUACUUAUCCCUUGUUUUGUUUUAGGUUUGCAUUGUGCAAAUAAGAAAUGAUUUUUCCUGUAGGCAAGUUUGACAAAUUAUUGCUACACAAUUUGAUAAGAUACUUUUUGAUGCAGUCCAAGAAGACUCAAUUUAUGAUUAUGUUGAUUUUAUUUUUCAUUGUAAAAUUAGAAAUUUUAUAUUCUAUUAUUUAGGAAAUUUAAU